rnacentral:rRNA from 1 species
GAUGAACGCUGGCGGCGUGCCUAAUACAUGCAAGUCGAGCGAACAGACGAGGAGCUUGCUCCUCUGACGUUAGCGGCGGACGGGUGAGUAACACGUGGAUAACCUACCUAUAAGACUGGGAUAACUUCGGGAAACCGGAGCUAAUACCGGAUAAUAUAUUGAACCGCAUGGUUCAAUAGUGAAAGACGGUUUUGCUGUCACUUAUAGAUGGAUCCGCGCCGCAUUAGCUAGUUGGUAAGGUAACGGCUUACCAAGGCAACGAUGCGUAGCCGACCUGAGAGGGUGAUCGGCCACACUGAAACUGAGAAACGGUCCAGACUCCUAGGGGAGGAAGCAGUAGGGAAUUUUCCGCAAUGGGCGAAAGCCUGACGGAGCAACGCCGCGGGGGGGAUGAAGGUUUUCGGAUCGUAAAACUUUUUUAUUAGGAAAAAAAAAAUGUGUAAGUAACUAUGCCCUUUUUGACGGUACCUAAUCAAAAAGCCACGGCUAACUACGU